AGAUGCUUGAUUUAUUCCCUACUGUCUGCCAGUCAGAGCUAUCCUGCUUGGAAGAAGGGUGUGCAGUGUGAUGGCUGAAGAACAAGAAGCCUGGGAUUUGCCACUAUGUAUCUGAAGCUUUGGUGACUGGUGUUUGGAAGGACCUGGGCCUCAAUGCUAGCAAGCAAGGUCCCUUUCUGGAGAUUCUAGUUCGUCUGCUCUCUUUUAACUUUUCCCCGUCACCUACCUACCACCUGCUAACCAAUGGCACCACUCAACAGGUCUCAAGAAGAGGGCUAUUUCCAGUGUCUCCCUGUUCAGCUGCUGGCACUGCAGCUUGGUAUUCAAUGCAGGGAACAUUUUGUACCCAUAUCUGGCCUUAUUGGAAGAACAAGCUUCUAUUCUCCUGGUUUCCUGGCUUUGGAUAAUUCUUCACUAACUUUUUCAUUAAGUCAGUGGGAAGAAACCAGCAGAACCCAUUAUUUAAUUAAAAUUUUUUAUUAAAAAUUU